GCCCAGUGAGCCGAAUAAUAAAAAAAACAUUUAUAUCAUAUGGAUCAUGGAAUGCAUCACAUCACAGCUAAUCACAUCAAGGAUGAACUUGUCACCAAUAGCCCUCUACAUAGUCCAACUGUGCCAGAACGUAGAAUGGGUCCUGGUCUUUCCCUUACAUAACAUAGCAUAACAUAACAGUCCAACUGUGCCAGAACGUAGAAUGGGUCCUGGUCUUUCN
rnacentral:lncRNA from 1 species